UGGUAGAUGCACCCUGAUGAUUCCCCUUGGCUCCCCCGCUAAGGGGUUUUUUUU
rnacentral:sRNA from 1 species